AACGAACGCUGGCGGCAGGCCUAACACAUGCAAGUCGAACGAGAACGCACCUUCGGGUGUUAGUAGAGUGGCGCACGGGUGAGUAACGCGUGGGAACCUACCUUGGGGUACGGAAUAACGUCGGGAAACUGGCGCUAAAUACCGUAUACGUCCUCCGGGGAGAAAGAUUUAUCGGCCCUAGGAUGGGCCCGCGUUAGAUUAGCUUGUUGGUGAGGUAACGGCUCACCAAGGCGACGAUCUAUAGGCUGGUCUGAGAGGAUGAUCAGCCACACUGGAACUGAGACACGGUCCAGACUCCUACGGGAGGCAGCAGUGGGGGAAUA
rnacentral:rRNA from 1 species